CCCCUUUCUUAUGUCGGUACUCCCCUGGAAUUUCGCAAAUUUUCAUGUAAAAUUUACCCCUUCCCAUGGAAAUUCCUUGUAAAAAUUACCCUUCCCCAUGGAAUUUCCAUUCUAAAUUAGGCCUUCCCCAUGGAAUUUCCAUUUAAAUUUGGCCCUGUCCAUGGAAUUUCCAUGUGUAAAUUACCCCUCCCCAUGGAAUUUCCAUCAUGGGACAUCUACUCUAUUUCCCUCUAACAUAUGUCCUCCCAUGGAAUUUCAUCCCAUCAAAUUUACCCCUCCCUUUGGAAAUUCCAUGUGAGAAUUACUCCUCCCCUUGGAAAUCCAGAGCCUGAAUGCCCCCUUCCCUGGAAAUUCCAGGGUUAAUGCACCCCCUCCCCUGGAAAUUCCAGGGUUAAUGUAUUCCCUCCCCUGGAAAUUUAAAGUUAAUUCACCUCUCCCCUGGAAAUUCCAAGGUUAAUACACCCCCUCCCCUGGAAAUUCCAAGGUUAAUACACCCCCUCCCCUGGAAAUUCCAAGGUUCCUCAACAGGGGGGGGUGCGGAUAAUAAUUGGAAUAGCCCAAUUUAACAAA